UCGCGUCCUCCUUCCGUUAGGGCCAGAUGGCGGGGGCUGGUGUUUAUUUAGUAGGGGCCCCCAUGCAGGAGGACGCCCACUGGAGCUCUGGAGGGUGGGACAUCCCCAAACCUAAACUGUUAACUGAGACCUGGAACUGUAGCUGAGUCAUAUAUUCUUCUUCUUUUUUUGAGACGGAGUUUGGUUCUUGUUACCCAGGCUGGAGUGCAGUGGCGCGAUCUCGGCUCACUGCAACCUCCGCCUCCCCGGUUCAAGUGAUUCUCUUGCCUCAGCCUACCGAGUAGCUGGGGUUACAGACAUGCGCCACCACGCCUGGCUAAUUUUUUUGUAUUUUUAUUAGAGACAGGGUUUCACCAUGUUGGCCAGGCGAGUCGUAUAUUCUUGUGGUGAUAGUGGCCUUAGGAAAAAAAAACAAAAACAAAAAAAACGCCUUCUUGGAUGACGUAAGGUAGAAGCCGCGGAAGCCUUGUUAAACAGUGCAUCUGGCCUGUGGGGCAGCUUUUGGAUAAACCCCUAGAAAAUAUGAAAACUCUUGUCACGGGAAGAAGGGGCUGUACAGUGAAUGUUAAGUUGGGUGAAGUUUACGGUUCCACCCAUGAAUACUGAGCUUCAGCUGCCAACCUCGCAGGCCACUUUUCUUCAGCUCAAAGCUGAGGAUUUUUAAGCAGAUUUUCUGACAACCAGAGGGGAGCAGACAUGCUUCCUGCUCUUUAAGCGACUCCCUGGGAUCCUAGUCAUCCAUCUAGUGAAGUCAAGAACCCAUUAGAGUUCCACCGACCCAGCCUUUUUGUGCCCAAGUGACAGAUUCUGCCAAGUCAGACAAGCCUAAGGGGCUUCUACCACACACGACAUAACUAUUUUCUUUCUGUUCCUUUCUUUUCCCUAUCAAAGUCCUCUCAGGCUCUCAUAAUGAUAUAAACAUGGGUGUUACCAUCCUGCAUGAGACAGGAAAGACAAUUCUUGAAAUGACUUUUAAGUCACUUUGAUGUCAUUAGAGAAGUCAUUUAACAAGUGUGUUAUUAAGUUUAAAAAAUUAAAAGACUAUGGCCUUUGGUGACUUCCCUCCCUGGUGGGGCACUAUACUUUGCUCUCUAGCUGUUGCAGCCUUUUUCUGGCUUGCAGGUUAAGUUGGGUGUGUGAGCUGCGCAAAAGCUCUGUAGUUGGUUAAUGAGAGCAAACGCUGUGGGCCUGACUUGGAACUGCAUCUGGAUGUGGACUCCCCCAAGUUACUGGGCAUUGUGGGAUGGGAGGAAGGUGUUUUUCCUGAGACCAGAACUAGGAAAGUGAGAAAGUUUCCUGGUAACAGGGAACCUGAACGAAGGACUACCUUUAAAAUUUUGGGGAAGGGCGAGGGUUUGUUCUUAAAACCCAUUUUUCGAAUAGGUUAAACCUAUAUACAAAUAGCAGCAUUCUUGGUGGCAGUAAUUAGAGAAGAUUCAUCACAGUGGUUGGGAACAUAAAGGAAACGAGAGUGGGGAUGGGCAAGCCUGGGAUUAGAAAAAAAUAUGACCUCUUCCUUUCUCCUGAAUUAGUGCCUCGUCACUGUAAGCAGUCCUGGAAUUCAGGAACAAUGUUACAGAGAGACUGAAAAACUUGGCUCCUUGGUUUAGAAGCAGUACUGGCUGAAACUUAGUUCUUUGGAAAUACACAAGGUCCCAUUCCAGGAGGCUUUUCAUAUAGAAGAUGAGUGGACACCAACUAGAGACACUGGAGCAAGGGCCCCACAGUGUGACAUUUGGUUGUCUCUUGAUGGGGGAGGGAAAGUGUGCUUUUGUGUACAAGUAUGAGAUAGGUGGAUUCUAUCAUGUGGAGGAUAUUGCUUCUCAGCCUUUUGGCUAAGAUCAAGUGUAGUAUCAUGAGGAGUUUUCUUCGAAAUUGUGGAUUUCCACUUAUGUAACUAGUGGUGCUAUUAUGUGCCCAGCACGAAGGUAUGUAAAUGUUGCAUUAAAACCUUCUUGAGGUGGCCGGGCGCAGUGGCUCACACCUGUAAUCCCAGCACUUUGAGAGGCCAAGACAGGCAGAUCACAAGGUCAGGAG
rnacentral:lncRNA from 1 species